rnacentral:rRNA from 1 species
UACGUAGGCAGCAAGCGUUGUUCGGAGUUACUGGGCGUAAAGGGUGCGUAGGCGGCCCUGUAAGUAUGGUGUGAAAUCUCCCGGCUCAACUGGGAGGGUGGUCGCGAGACGGCAGGGCUUGAGGCUCGGUGAGGGGCGUGGAAUUCCGGGUGGAGCGGUGAAAUGCGUAGAGAUCCGGAGGAACACCGACGGCGUAGGCAGCGCCCUAGACGAGACCUGACGCUCAGGCACGAAAGCGCGGGGAGCGAACAGG